CUGGCACCGGUUCACGUCCGCGCAUCCCGCGCCGACGACCCGGCGCC
rfam:Nocardioides sp. Leaf285 contig_3, whole genome shotgun sequence.